rnacentral:rRNA from 1 species
GACGAACGCUGGCGGCGUGCUUAACACAUGCAAGUCGAACGGAAAGGCCCUGCUUUUGUGGGGUGCUCGAGUGGCGAACGGGUGAGUAACACGUGAGUAACCUGCCCUUGACUUUGGGAUAACUUCAGGAAACUGGGGCUAAUACCGGAUAGGAGCUCCUGCUGCAUGGUGUGGGUUGGAAAUUUUCGGCGGUUGGGGAUGGACUCGCGGCUUAUCAGCUUGUUGGUGGGGUAGUGGCUUACCAAGGCUUUGACGGGUAGCCGGCCUGAGAGGGUGACCGGAGACAGUGGGACGGAGAUACGGCCAAGACUCCAACGGGAGGCAGCAGUGGGGAAUAUUGCACAAUGGGCGGAAGCCUGAUGCAGAAACGCCGCGUGCGGGAUGACGGCCUUCGGGUUGUAAACCGCUUUCGCCUGUGACGAAGCGUGAGUGACGGUAAUGGGUAAAGAAGCACCGGCUAACUACGUG